rnacentral:rRNA from 1 species
UACGGAGGGUGCUAGCGUUGUUCGGAAUCACUGGGCGUAAAGGGCGUGUAGGCGGUCUGUUAAGUCUGAUGUGAAAUCCCCUCGCUCAACGAGGGAACUGCGUCGGAUACUGGCAGACUCGAGUACCGGAGAGGAAGGUGGAAUUCCCGGUGUAGCGGUAAAAUGCGUAGAUAUCGGGAGGAACACCGGUGGCGAAGGCGGCCUUCUGGACGGAUACUGACGCUGAGACGCGAAAGCGUGGGGAGCAAACAGG